GACGAACGCUGGCGGCGUGCUUAACACAUGCAAGUCGAACGAAGUGGCGAACGGGUGAGUAACGCGUAAUCAACCUGCCCUUCAGAGGGGGACAACAGUUGGAAACGACUGCUAAUACCGCAUAAUGAAGGAGGGGAUUGCGACUGAUUAGCUCGUUGGAGGGGUAACGGACCACAAAGGAUAUGAUCAGAAGGUGGUCUGAGAGGAGGAACGGCCACCUUGGGACUGAGACACGGCCCAGACUCCGACGGGAGUCAGCAGUGGGGAAUCUUCCGCAAUGGACGAAAGUCUGACGGAGCAACGCCGCGUGAGUGAUGACGGCCUUCGGGUUGUAAAGCUCUGUGAAGCGGGACGCGGUACCGGAAUAGAAAGCCACGGCUAACUACGUGCCAGCAGCCGCGGUAAUUC
rnacentral:rRNA from 1 species